rnacentral:rRNA from 1 species
UAGUGGCGAACGGGUGAGUAACACGUGGGCAAUCUGCCCUUCACUCUGGGACAAGCCCUGGAAACGGGGUCUAAUACCGGAUAACACUCUGUCCCGCAUGGGACGGGGUUGAAAGCUCCGGCGGUGAAGGAUGAGCCCGCGGCCUAUCAGCUUGUUGGUGGGGUGAUGGCCUACCAAGGCGACGACGGGUAGCCGGCCUGAGAGGGCGACCGGCCACACUGGGACUGAGACACGGCCCAGACUCCUACGGGAGGCAGCAGUGGGGAAUANUUGCACAAUGGGCGAAAGCCUGAUGCAGCGACGCCGCGUGAGGGAUGACGGCCUUCGGGUUGUAAACCUCUUUCAGCAGGGAAGAAGCGAAAGUGACGGUACCUGCAGAAGAAGCGCCGGCUAACUACGUGCCAGCAGCCGCGGUAAUACGUAGGGCGCAAGCGUUGUCCGGAAUUAUUGGGCGUAAAGAGCUCGUAGGCGGCUUGUUGCGUCGGUUGUGAAAGCCCGGGGCUUAACCCCGGGUCUGCAGUCGAUACGGGCAGGCUAGAGUGUGGUAGGGGAGAUCGGAAUUCCU